rnacentral:rRNA from 1 species
CCUACGGGGGGCAGCAGUGGGGAAUAUUGCGCAAUGGGCGAAAGCCUGACGCAGCGACGCCGCGUGAGGGAUGAAGGUCUUCGGAUCGUAAACCUCUGUCAGCAGGGAAGAACGGUCACUGUGCUAAUCAGCAGUGAAUUGACGGUACCUGCAAAGGAAGCACCGGCUAACUCCGUGCCAGCAGCCGCAGUAAUACGGAGGGUGCGAGCGUUAAUCGGAAUUACUGGGCGUAAAGCGCUCGUAGGCGGUAUGUCAAGUCAAGGGUGAAAUCCCCGCGCUCAACGUGGGAACUGCCUUUGAAACUGGCAAACUGGAGUGUGUGAGAGGAUAGUGGAAUUCAAGGUGUAGGAGUGAAAGCCGUAGAUAUCUGGAGGAACAUCAGUGGCGAAGGCGACUAUCUGGCACAUAACUGACGCUGAGGAGCGAAAGCGUGGGUAGCAAACAGGAUUAGAUACCCCGGUAGUC